GGGUCGGGUCACACAGCCACGCCACGGUGGCAGUCAGGAGAGGACACGACGUGGGAGAGGACAGAGUAAAGUAGAGUAGAGUACUAGAGCUGAGGGCUGAUAAACAGAAUGAAGUUGAAUUUAUCAACUAUAUGGCUGUCACCUGUAUUUGAACGUGCACGUGACAUUCUGGUAGUGCAGCUGGGGUGGAGAUGAGGCAAGUUCAACCAAGAUAGAGAUGGGAACUGGGAGAUCGAGAGAACUGAGGACGUGGCAAGGCUACUGGGCCUGUGAAGUGUGAUGGGUGAAGCGCGGGGCAGGGAGGCAGAAAGAACACAUAUAAAGAUGCCUGCCGAUCCCUGACUCUGAAGAGAACGCCAGCCCGGAGUAAAUCUUCCAUGACCACUGUAUUGACACUCGGGGAGCGAGGCAAGAUGCGGCGGGUACGGGCGGUGGAGGGCUUAGUGGGAAAGACAUCUCAAACUACUCGUCAGAAGGAAAGUUACAGUGCCGCAGGGAUACGUACUUGACGAUCACGUCAGACGUUGGCGAUUCCAGUAGGUCAAUCAUCGAAGCAGCUGCGGGUCAACGUCUUUCGGUAUGUCGUCAAGGCCAACCUACCGGACAAAAGCGAAGACGACGAGGUGUUCCUGACAGACGUAUACCAUGUCCAUCAGGACGACACAUUCCCGCCACACCCAACAUAGAGACUCUUACCGCCACAAGGGAAGUAGGUCGAGUCCUUUCACGAGAAGUGGCCAUCGCUGAGAGGAGCCAGAAUAAACGUUUGUGCGGCUUGAAAAUUUUGAACAGAGGGGGGCACAUAACAUCCAGAACAGCGCCAUCGACAGAAGGAAGGCAACAUGAGGGAAGUAGAGGCCAGUAGCAGAGCCAAGACGUGUAGCCGAUAGAUUUCGAUCAUACUUGUACAUGUAUAGAAAACCUGACAUGACACCAGUUAUAGAAUUCACGGAUUGGCUGAUUGAUUUACUGUUUGUAUAUCACAAAUAUGUAUUUUAGUGUAUACAUUGUAGUAGUUUAUUUUAUAUGUAUAUCAAUGGACAUUAGAUGAAAUAACCGUUGUUUCGCGGAGUGACCUGUCUGUUUGAAACACCAAAAUUUGAACACGAGAUGUAAUGUAUUUGUAUGACAGAGGGUCAGAGAGUACAGUUCAGAAGAGAAAGACCGAGGUUAGCGAGGUCA